GCUCACUUCAGCGGCACAUAGACUAAAAUUGGAAUGAUACUGAGGAGAUUAGCAUGGCCCCUGUGUAAGGAUGACAUGCAAAUUCGUGAAGCAUUCCAUAUAUUU
rnacentral:snRNA from 1 species